rnacentral:snoRNA from 1 species
AUAAAAUUUGCAUCGGAUCUGUCCUAUUGGCUCGUACCACUGUAUCCUUGAGUUCUCAGGAGACAGGAAACCAAGUCUUGUGGAUGAAUCCCCGUCAUUAUACCAGUGCGUGAUUAACAGUCCCUAUAUCCUUCGGGUCAUGGAGCUGUAGAUGAUCAUUCUCUGCCCCUACCCACGGUGGGUGCCAAACU